AAAUAGUUAAAUCCUGUAUCAUUGGGUCAAGACUUUUAUUUUGAUAUGUUGCUAAUGUUGCAUUCCGGAUAUCCUGCUGCAGAAAAGACGGUAGGUUGAGCAUAAAACGUGUCCGCAUGAAACAUUUGUUAAAGUAAUUUUAUGAUUGUCACUUAUCUCUAGACGGUUGUUUAAUACACUCUUCUGAUAUUUGGCAUUGUAUUGUUUCUUUUAUUUGAGUUUUGAUUUUCGUUUGCAUUUGUAAUAUUGUAUUUAUUUUGUCUAGGCGGACCAGGAAAUGCUUUAAACCUGUCCUUUAUGUUUGCUGACCCAUUGUGCAGGUAACCGAUAGGUUGUUUUAGUUAUAUGUAUGUUUAUAAUCCCACUUGUGGCGUUGCUAGUAUUCACAACCUAGAAUGUCUAGCCGGUCCCGCCAUUUUUGUGUUGUACAUGCAAUACCGCCGGUCGCCACAUGAGGUUCACCUGUUUUUAGCGCGACUCCGUUUUCUUAUUUGUAAAUAUAUAUUGUUUGUUUGUGUUAUAUAACACAUUAUAGAGCAGAAAAGACGGUAUCUGCUGCAGGCGGACCAGGAAAUGCUUUAAACCUGUCCUUUAUGUUUGUGACCCAUUGUGCAGGCAAUAAAACCGCUGCACCCAAUGCUGAACGUCCGAGUCCAUGCUUGAAGGAAACAAAACACAACGCAGAUACCUAGCCACUGGGGACUCCUACAGGACCAUCGCAAAUAGUUUCCAUGUUGGGAUCUCCACUGUCUCCAGCAUUGUCCCUGAUGUUGCCACUGCAAUCGGGACUCUCUGGUGGAGGAGUUCAUGGCUGUGCCCAGCACAGAUGAGUGGACGUCCAUUGCAGGGAGGUUUGAGGAGCGGUGGAAUUUUCCUCUUUGCUGUGGACCAUUGGAUGGGAAGCAUGUGGUCAUUGAAGCCCCUGCUCACUCAGGAGACCAGUUCUACAACUACAAGGGAACUUUCUCUCUUGUUCUCUUGGCGGUUGUAGACGCGG
ensembl:lncRNA